rnacentral:lncRNA from 1 species
UCCCAGCUGGCGCAGGGAAGCUGCUCAGGUCGGGCUUGGACGCGCUGCGCCCUAAAGCUCCCUUCCAAGCCCUGCACUUCUGGCACUGCGGGACUCGGGCAGCAGCCAGGAGAGGCCGGCAGCACGCAGGCGUUCCGCGCUCAGGGAUCUGAUGGCGGAAAGCCGGCCUCCUGCUUUGCCGGCCCUGCCUUGUGCUGCUGCCUCUGCAGCGCCGCAGCGAGGGCCUGCAGCCCCACAACUGAGUCCUCCAGGGCCACGAGUGGGUCCUCCUGCCCCACAAGUGAGUCCUGCAGCCCCACAGCCAGUCCUCCAGCCCCACAGCGAGGGCCUGCAGCCCCACAAGUGAGUCCUCCAGCCCCACAGCCAGUCCUCCAGCCCCACAGACAGUCCUCCAGACCCACAGCCAGUCCUCCAGCCCCACAGACACUCCUCCAGACCCACACCGAGGGCCUGCAGCCCCACAAGCGAGUCCUGCAGCGCCACAGCCAGUCCUCCAGACCCACACCGAGGUCCUGCAGCCCCACAAGUGAGUCCUCCAGCCCCACAAGUGAGUCCUCCAGCCCCACAAGUGAGUCCUGCAGCGCCGCAGCGAGGGCCUGCAGCCCCACAACUGAGUCCUGCAGGGCCACCAGUGGGUCCUCCUGCCCCACAAGUGAGUCCUCCAGCCCCACAGCGAGGGCCUGCAGCCCCACAACUGAGUCCUGCAGCGCCACAGCGAGGGCCUGCAGCCCCACAAGUGAGUCCUCCAGGGCCACGAGUGGGUCCUCCUGCCCCACAAGUGAGUCCUGCAGCGCCACAGUGAGGGCCUGCAGCCCCACAAGUGAGUCCUCCAGCCCCACAAGUGAGUCCUGCAGCCCCUUAAAUCAGUCCUCCAGCCCCACACAUGAGUCCUCCAGCCCCACACAUGAGUCCUGCAGCCCCACAGCGAGGGCCUGCAGCCCCACAAGUGAGUCCUCCAGCCCCUUAAAUGAGUCCUCCAGCCCCUUAAAUGAGUCCUGCAGCGCCACAGCGAGGGCCUGCAGCCCCACAAGUGAGUCCUCCAGCCCCUUAAAUGAGUCCUCCAGCCCACAGCGAGGUCCUGCAGCCCCACAGCGAGGUCCUGCAGCCCCACAGCGAGGUCCUGCAGCCCCACAGCGAGGUCCUCCAGGG